rnacentral:tRNA from 1 species
GGAUUACCCGAACGAGGGGACUGCUAAUGCGGUUUGGGUGCAAGCCCAUCCGGGGUUCAAAUCCCCGAUCCUCCGCCA